rnacentral:rRNA from 1 species
GACGAACGCUGGCGGCGUGCUUAACACAUGCAAGUCGAACGGAAAGGCCCUGCUUUUGUGGGGUGCUCGAGUGGCGAACGGGUGAGUAACACGUGAGUAACCUGCCCUUGACUUUGGGAUAACUUCAGGAAACUGGGGCUAAUACCGGAUAGGAGCUCCUGCUGCAUGGUGGGGGUUGGAAAGUUUCGGCGGUUGGGGAUGGACUCGCGGCUUAUCAGCUUGUUGGUGGGGUAGUGGCUUACCAAGGCUUUGACGGGUAGCCGGCCUGAGAGGGUGACCGGCCACAUGGGGACUGGGAUACGGCCCAGACUCCUACGGGAGGCAGCAGUGGGGAAUAUUGCACAAUGGGCGGAAGCCGGAUGCAGCAACGCCGCGUGCGGGAUGACGGCCUUCGGGUUGUAAACCGCUUUCGCCUGUGACGAAGCGUGAGUGACGGUAAUGGGGAAAGAAGCACCGGCUAACUACGG